rnacentral:rRNA from 1 species
AUUGAACGCUGGCGGCAGGCCUAACACAUGCAAGUCGAACGAGUGGCGGACGGGUGAGUAAUGUCUGGGAAACUGAGUGAUGGAGGGGGAUAACUACUGGAAACGGUAGCUAAUACCGCAUACCAUCGAAUGUGCCCAGAUGGGAUUGGCUUGGUGGUGGGGUAACGGCUCACCAAGGCGACGAUCCCUAACGGGUCUGAGAGGAGGACCAGCCACACUGGAACGGAGACACGGUCCAGACUCCUACGGGAGGCAGCAGUGGGGAAUAUUGCACAAUGGGCGCAAGCCUGAUGCAGCCAUGCCGCGUGUAUGAAGAAGGCCUUCGGAUUGUAAAGUACUUUCAGCGGGGAGGCGUUACCCGCAGAAGAAGCACCGGCUAACUCCGUGCCAGCAGCCGCGGUAAUAC